rnacentral:rRNA from 1 species
UACGGAGGGGGGUUAGCGUUGUUCGGAAUCACUGGGCGUAAAGGGCGCGUAGGCGGCUUUAUAAGUCGGGGGUGAAAGCCUGUGGCUCAACCACAGAAUUGCCUUCGAUACUGUAGAGCUUGAGACCGGAAGAGGUAAGUGGAACUGCGAGUGUAGAGGUGAAAUUCGUAGAUAUUCGCAAGAACACCAGUGGCGAAGGCGGCUUACUGGUCCGGUUCUGACGCUGAGGCGCGAAAGCGUGGGGAGCAAACAGG